UACGUAGGGUCCAAGCGUUAUCCGGAAUUACUGGGCGUAAAGCGUGCGUAGGCGGGUGUUUAAGUGCAAUGCGAAAUCCUGUGGCUCAACCAUAGGACUGUAUUGCAUACUGGACGCCUGGAGGAAUGCAGAGGCAAGUGGAAUUACCGGUGUAGCAGUGAAAUGCGUAGAGAUCGGUAGGAACACCAAUGGCGAAGGCAGCUUGCUGGGCAUUUUCUGACGCUAAGGCACGAAAGCGUGGGGAGCGAACAGG
rnacentral:rRNA from 1 species